GGGAAAGGCUCGCCCAGUGUAUGGUGAAGAUAUGGAGUCUAACAAGGCUCUAGGGAUUACACGCAGGUUGCAAACUCCCAGCGACAAAUGAGAAAGGACCAUGCCCACCGGGGUGCCCAGUGUCUGCAUGCGAAUCUGGGAUGGCUUCCAUCAAGACCAUCUCCCAAGGCUGGCGCCUGGACUGCGUGUGUGUCCUGCAUGUGCAUUUGAAGGAAGACGGUUGACGCAGGAGGACACUUGGGGCCUGUCCUCACUGGCAAGAACUCAAGCCUCUCCUUCCCUUACUCACUGCCCAGGGUCUCUUCAGAGAUGCUAGAGUCUUCUAGCCUGUGUGCCGACUACCCGGUUGACCAGCCUCUGCACCUAGCUCUGUGGCGCCUGAUCCAGCUGAUUGUUCUGCAUCGUGAAAUACCACCUUCCCAACUCCAUCCCACUCAUUGCUCACAUUGCCUUGGUCUUCCUGAAUUGUUCCAUUUGAAGCAGGAUCCCAUCCAGGAUACUGCAUUUAGCUGUCAUGUCUCACUUGGAUCUUCCUAGCCGUCAGUCUCUCCCUUUCCUUGUUUUUGAUGACAAUUUUGAGUAGUACUAGUCAAGUAUUUUUACAGUGUCCCUCAGUCUUAAUUACAUUGGGGCAAUGAGUUUUUGUGAGGAAGACUGCAGAGGCAAAGUGGCAUUUUUAUCGCAUCAAGGGCCAAACUAUCAACAUGACACGACAUCACCAUUGAUGUUGUCCUCGAUCACCUGGCUCAGGUAGUGUCAGGUGUCUCCACUGCAGUUAAGUCUCUUCCCCCUGCAAUAGGCUAAAUCGUGGCCCCUCAAAAUCCAUAAACCGAAGUCCUAAACCUCAGCCCUCGCAAUUCAGAAUGUGACUGUUUUUUGAGAUAGUGUCUUUAAAAAGGUAGUUGAUAAAAUGAGGUCAAUAGCACCUUAAUCCAACAUGACUAGCGUCCUUAGAAGAGACCAGGACACAGACAUGUAUAAGGGAAGACCACGUGAAGACACGGAGAGAAAAUGGUCUGCUUCAAGCUGGGGUGCCUCGGAGGAAACCAAACUUGCCAUCUCUUUGAUUUUGGACUUCUAGCCUCUGGAAAAGUGAGAAAAUAAAUUUUUGUUUAGGCCACCUCGUCUGUGAUUCCU